CGCUUCGGGACUGCAAUCCCAGCAUGCCCCGGUCUCAGGGGCGGGGCGCAGUUCUUGCGGGAGGAGCGGGGCGGUGCGCUCCUGGCCACGCAGGCUGGAAACUGUAGCUCUUAACGGUUCCCCGCCCGUUGGUGGCAAGGCGGCUGGACUAGAAUCCUAGCAGGCGAUAUGCGAGAAGGCGGGCAGCCCAAGAGGGUUGGGCAGGGCAGUGUGGAUCUCGCCGCUUCCACAGCGAUGCUGGCUACUGAUUUCGGACACCUCCUUGCCAUGGGAUGUGAGUCCGGAGAGGGACAGGAGGGGCAGGUCCGGGUUGGGCAGUGAGGAGGGUGUGACGCCGCGAAGUGCACCUCGCCCUUGUCCAACUCGGACGGGUGUGGUCCUCACCUCACUUCCCGCUGCUAGGCUGGGUUCCCUCUCCCACCUGCACCCGGGGUCUUUCCUGGACAUCACGCCUCCUCCAGCCCAGGGAGCCACCUGCUUUCCUAAGCUGCUGUGGGAACUGGCCUGCGGUCCAGGCACUGUCCACUGUGCCGCUGCCCUCUUUUCUCUCCAGCCAGAGCGCAGUGCAGCCGCUAUGGGGAGAAAUCCGCCGCCCGGCCCGCCAGUGCACAAGUUCAGAGCUUUGCGUGGGGCAACAUGCUCUGUGGCUUCAUGAAAAUGUCACCCUCACCAGCGCCUUUUUCGCGGAUGUGGAUGUUGAGGUGGCAGAGAGGGUCAUUAUUGGUUUACCCAGGAGAUGCUAACAGCAGAAGAGAAAAUCUCACAUCCCAGGCGUGUGUCUCUGGUGCGCCAUUUUCCCCCAACCCAUUUGGUGGAAAGUUCCCCAAAUAGCUACCUAAAGAUGAAGAUAGUUUAGGCAUUUUACACGUGACAUCAUUGGCCUCAUCUCAACCGAGGCCUGACUGGGCAGUGUCUCAAAGACACAAUGGCAACCUGAUUCUCAGGAACAGGUGGUGCUCCAGCUUUGUGUGAGCGACUUUCAAGGUAUAGAGCACUUGGGGAGUCUUUGAAACUCCUCAGGCUUCACAACUUUGCUUUGAAUGGAAUGUUCAUCACCCCCGGCACUCACGGAGGUGAGAAAACUGACACUUGGAGAGGUAGAGUAGCUUUAUUUACUUCACACAAGCUUUUGAUGAAUUUCAAGUCUCAACCUAGAAGUCUUCCUCUAAGGGAAAUUAAUGUUAUGACUGGAUAAGACAAUUGUGAAGAAACUGCACUUCGAGGUUGUCUGUCUCCGUAUUCCGAUGGAAAAGGCUGGACUUUAGAAGCAUUGCUCGCUCCUUCAGUUUCUAACAAGAGUUUUACAGUUUCUGAUUAAAUACCAAUGGGAUAUCACCUCCCAUCUCUUAGGAUGGCUGUUAUAAAAAGGACAAGAGAUAACAAGUGUUGGUGAUGGUGUGGAGAGAAGGGAACCUUUGUACACUGCUGGUUAAAAUGUAAGUUAGUACAGCCAUUAUGGAAAACAGUAUGAAAGUUCCUGAGAAUCUAAAAAUAGAACUACCAUAUGGCUCAGCAAUCCCUCCUAUGAAUUAUAUAUCAACAGGAAAUGAAAUCAGCAUCUGAUAGAGAUAUCUUCACUCCCCUCUUCUCCGUGCCCCACCACAGCAUUGCUCCCAACAGCCAAGCCAUGGGAUGAAGUUACUGUGCAUUGAUGGAUGAGUGGAGAAAAGAAAAUGUGGGGGAGGUGUUUGUGCAUGUAUGUGUGUGUGUGUAUAAUAUAUAAUAAUAUAAUAUUUUUCAGCUUUUAAGAAGUUGAAGAUACUGCCAUUUGUGAUAACAUAAAUGAAUCUGGAGGAUAUUAAGCUAAGUAAAAUAACUUAGGGAGAGAGAAAAAUACUGCAUAAUUUCUGUUACAUAUGAAAUCUUUAAAAAGGUUUAAUACAUAGAGACAUGAUAGAGUGAUGAUUUGGGGGAUAAGAGACACAAGUCAACGUUUCAGUUAUAUAAAAUAAAUGAAUCUAGAGGACUAAAGUACAAUUUAAAGGUUAUAGUUACUAUUUUUAUAUUAUAUACUAGUGAUUUUUGAACAGGGUAAACUUUAGGUGCUUUGACACCAAAAGGAAACUACAUGAGUUCAUGUAUAUGUUAAAUUGUUUGACCGCAGUCAUCAUUGAUAUGUAUAUGUAUAUAUAUAUAAUUAUGGGCUCAUUAAAUUUAAAUGCUAUAAAUAGGUAACAAAGAAUAAAGUUAAUUGAAAAACUGCAUCAUUAGACUUGAUUUUGCCUACAUGAAAAACUGAAACUGCCUCCUAAAUAUUAAUAUUUGUACAUCGCAUAAAGUUUAUAUGUUGGAAAUAUGUUUAAAGAAAAGGAAUUAUAAAUUUUAAUAAACACAGAAUGACACAGUAAAUGCAAAACAGUAGAAAGAGAUGAAAAUCUGAUUAAUCAGAGUGGUUAAUGCUUAGAUAUAAUUAAUGAUGUGUUAGGAGCAAUUUCAAGCCACUUCCACAUAGAUUUAAUACCAAAGAGUUUAUGUGUACACAGAGAUUAAAUAAAAAAAUACAUUUACAAUGAUAUUAAUUGAUAUUAAAAUGAUUAUGAAAUCAACUGUCUGCUAUAGAAAAAAUAGAGCAUUAAGUAACUAGCAGUAAGUUUGAAACUUUGUUAGAAAGUUAAUCAAGUGAAAAAGUGAUCAGCAUUUUUGAGCACUAAAUAGAGGAUGGACAAAAUUUUCUUUUCUUUCUUUCUUUUUUUUUUUUUUUUGAGAUCGAGUCUGUCUCUGUCGCCCAGGCUGGAGUACAGCGGCGCAAUCUUGAUCUCGGCUCACUGCAAGCUCUGCCUCCCGGGUUCACGCCAUUCUCCUGCAUUAGCCUCCUGAGUACCUGGGACUGCAGGCGCCCACAGCCAUCCCUGGCUAAUUUUUUGUAUUUUUAGUGGAGACGGGGUUUCACCGUGUUAGUCAAGAUGGUCACGAUCUCCUGAGCUCAUGAUCCACCUGCCUCAGCCUCUUAAAGUGCUGGGAUUACAGGCGUGAGCCACCGCACCUGGCCUAUAAUUUUCCAAUACCAAGAAAAUCAUUUGAUAUUGCAAGAUUUUAAACCUAAAUUAGUGUCUUUAACUUCACAAAGGUAGAAAUCCUAUAAGUAAUGUUUCUUGAACACUUUAAAAUGACAAUAAAAACUAAAGUGUAACCAACAAGUAACAUGUAGCCACAUGCAAAUUUCCUUUUAGAUUGUUUUAUUAUUUUUUUAACUUUAUGUGAAUUUUUAUUUUACUAGGUUUUUGGGGAACAGGUGGUGUUUGGUUAGAGGGAUAAGUUUUUAGUGGUGAUCUCUGAGAUGUUGGUGCAGUGUACACUGUACCCAAUGGGUAGCCUUUGAUCCCUAAGAUUGUUUUAAAUGACAUCUAGAUUAAAUAGAACAUUCAAACUGACAUUACUUUUACAGCACCAGAGAAAUGCUAAGGAGGAAGCUUUGUGACUGAAACCAAAAGACCUGAAUUUAUAUAUUUAAUUUUACUAAUUAACAUUCUUAAUUUUAUAGAAAAACAGCAAUUCUGCCCACAUGCAGGAGUUAUGCAUUAAAGUGGAGCAUGAUCACUUCAGACAUUUGUCCAAAACAUAAAAAUUCUUCCAAGUAUUAAGAAAAUAUUUAUACUUCACAGAUAUUGUUAGUGUAUAAUACAUGGGCAUUGAGAUGUUUCAAAUGAGAAAAAUUGAAAUUUCUCAUGGGGCAUUGUUCUACACAAAAUAUUUAUGUAAAAUUUUUUACUCAUAUAUGCAUGUGGACAUUUGAUGUUUUAGCACAGAAUAACAUAUUCUCAAAGGUCAUUUAAUGUAGUAAAUUAAAAAUCUUUAAAGUUUACAAGAAUUUUAAAACUGCCCAGCAGAACUGAUAGAAAAAUAUGGGAGCUUCCCAGGACCAGAAGUGAAUCAAGAGGCAAAUUCACAGGAGUCAUGAAAGUGAGAAGUUAGAGCUGCCUUCAGGUACAGCUCUGAUUGCAGGGCUGAUUACACAGACCUCAAGCCUGUGAAAAUCGUCCACUCUGCCCCUUGGAAUAUACAUACAGAGAAAAUUACUAACUGGGGCAUCCCAAAUGUGAGAUCUCUAUAAUGUAAGAACCAAAUUGCAAUUAUGAAGCACACAAAAGAAGCUACCCAAAAAAGGGAAAGAAAUUAUACAUCACGUAAACUUCACAGAUUGGAAACGUAUUUAAAAUAAGUAACACAAAUAGGGAAAGAGAAUAUCAAAAUAAUUUUGAAAACACAUGAAGUUCUAAAGCGGGCACUGGGGGCAGUGGCUCAUGCCUGUACUCCCAAGCACUUUGCGGUGGCCAAAGCAGGAGGAUCACUUGAGGCCAGGAGUUUGAGAUCAGCCUGGGCAACAAAGCAAAAGUUGUCUCUACAACAAAUAGAUAUAAAAAAAUAAGCCAGGCACAGUGGUGUGUGCUUGUACUGUCAGCUACUGGGGAGGUGGAGGUGAGAGGGUCUUUUGAGACUGGGAAUUUGAGGUUGCAGUGAGCUAUGACCACCACUGAACUCAAGCCUGGGUGACAGAGAUUCUUUCUCAAACACACACACACACACACACACACACACACACACACACACACACACACACUAAACAGGCAUGUUUUGCAAAGACUCAAACAGAAAUUGAACAACUGAAACUUAAAUAAAUUUAAUAUACAGUGUAUGGUUUAAUUAUUAAACCAAGUUAAUAACAACAGGAUUAGUGAACUAGAAUACUGAGAUGAGUAAAUAAAAGAACUACAGAAAAAUGAAAUGAUCACAAUACAAAAAUGAGUAUACAUGUACAAAGAAUAAAAUGAAAUGAAAUCAAAUACAUUGGUUUCACUAGCUUACAUAUAAAUAACAAAUCACAUUAAUAACAAAUAUUUAUAAAUUUCUGAAACUGAAUAUCAGAUGGGAACCCUUGAAUGCAGAAGUGUAUUGUGAUUAAUAGUGGCCUACCAAUAAAAAAUACUCAACAGAAAUAAAAGUCAAACUGCAUAACAGCAAAGAAAAGAAAAAAUUUUAAAGCCAUAAGAGAGAAAAGAAGAGAGAACCAAUGAAGGUGAGAGCAAAGUCUUCACAGCCCGUGUUCAGUCAGAAAACAGAGAAAUAAGUAAGAGUGCUGAGAUAAGUCACUGUUCAACCAAUAAUUAGAUACUUCACUAACAUAUUUUGAAUAAGUGAGGAUGCACUACAUGAUUUCCAAAAGUAAAAAAGUGGGAAAUCUUAUUACCAAUAUGAGCUUAUUAAGAAUACACUUCAAAAAGAAAAAAAAUUUAAAAUGGAGUUCAAGGAAUCAAAAUGAAAUGCAAGAAACUGCAAACAUAUUGGGCUAUCAAAUCAUGGUGGACAAUGAACAAAAGGAUCCAUCAAGUCUUUGGCAGCAUCAGUUUCCAAAUGAUUUACAUAAAAUAAAAGUGCUAAACUCUAUACAAUGUAAUGAAAUAAAUUAUCAAAUCCUCUGAUACUUGAAUAAUUUAACUGAUGUUAGAAUCUCCUUUUCAGAUAAUUAUUUUCAUGGAAAAAAAUAUACAAUACUUCUGUCUCAUCAUUUGCAGAAUAUCAAUUAUCCUUUUUUCAGAACUUAUUAGCACCAAAGGGCUCACAGUGGCAUAGGCCCUGGUCACAAGCCUCUGGACACCCAG
rnacentral:lncRNA from 1 species